rnacentral:tRNA from 1 species
GCUCGGUUGGUUAAGCAUCUGACUUCAGCUCAGAUCAUGAUCCCGAGGUUCGUGGGUUCGAGCCCCACAUCGGGCU